rnacentral:rRNA from 1 species
CCUACGGGAGGCAGCAGUGAGGAAUAUUGGUCAAUGGGCGGGAGCCUGAACCAGCCAAGCCGCGUGAGGGAAGAAGGUCCAGCGUAUUGUAAACCUCUUUUGUCCGGGAACAAAGGCGGGGACUAGUCCCCGGAUGAGGGUACCUGAAGAAAAAGCAUCGGCUAACUCCGUGCCAGCAGCCGCGGUAAUACGGAGGAUCCGAGCGUUAUCCGGAUUUAUUGGGUUUAAGGGGGGCGUAGGUGGAUUGUUAAGUCAGUUGUGAAAGUUUGCGGCUAAACGGGAAAAUUGCAGUUGAAACUGGCAGUCUUGAGUACAGUAGCGGUGGGAGGAAUGCGUGGUGUAGCGGUGAAAUGCUUAGAUAUCACGAAGAACUCCGAUUGCGAAGGCAGUUCACGGGACUGCAACUGACACUGAGGCACGAAAGUGUGGGUAUCAAACAGGAUUAGAUACCCCUGUAGUC